ensembl:rRNA 5S_rRNA 5S ribosomal RNA
GAACAUGCCUGAUUUCUGCUGAUCUCCACUGAUUUCAGAAGCUAAGCAGCAUCAGGCCUCGUCAGCACUUGGAUGGGAGAAUGUUCCUUCCUCUGAAGGAAUACUGGACAACAUAUUCU